rnacentral:rRNA from 1 species
AAUGAACGCUGGCGGCAGGCCUAACACAUGCAAGUCGAACGGAGCAGCAAUGCUCAGUGGCGGACGGGUGAGUAACGCGUGGGAACAUACCCUUUGGUACGGAAUAGCCUCGGGAAACUGGGAGUAAUACCGUAUGUGCUCGCAAGAGGAAAGAUUUAUCGCCAAAGGAUUGGCCCGCGUUGGAUUAGGUAGUUGGUGGGGUAAUGGCCUACCAAGCCGACGAUCCAUAGCGGUUUGAGAGGAUGAUCAGCCACACUGGGACUGAGACACGGCCCAGACUCCUACGGGAGGCAGCAGUGGGGAAUCUUAGACAAUGGGGAAACCCUGAUCUAGCCAUGCCGCGUGAUCGAUGAAGGCCUUAGGGUUGUAAAGAUCUUUCAGUUGGGAAGAUAAUGACGGUACCAACAGAAGAAGCCCCGCUAACUCCGUGCCAGCCGCCGCCGUAAC